UGGCAUAGUGAGACAAGCAGCACGAGUUCCGAGACAAGGGCAAGCAGGAAGAAACCACAGUUGGAGUGAUACAGUACUCCUUUAUGAUUCUUAUAUUGGCAAUAACAUAAUACCAUAGUAAGCGUUUUUGCACUGACAUGCCUUUCUAGACCUCUAAGACAUGAGAUGGUUGUGUUGUUUAUUGUCACUUUUGUUUUGGAGUUUUUAUUUUACGGUGUCCGUCUACUGCAGUAUAAGGCUCACAUACACUGCCAUUUAAAAGUGUGUGGUCACUUAAUAUUUCAUUGUUAUCCAUGAAAACAUACAUGAAAUGAGGUUGAAUAGGAAAUGUAGCAUAAUAAAUAGGAAAUAUAGUAAUUGACAAAGUUACAAUUAAGGAUUUUUUAUUGAAAUAAUAAUUGUGAAUUGGGAUUCUAGUAGUCAAUAUGUUAAGGAAAUCUGGAGAGAUUUCAUCCCAUGCUUCCUGAAGCACCUCCCACAAGUUGGAUUGGCUUGAUGGGCACUUCUUACACAACAGCUCUAUAGGGUUGAGCUCCGGUGUCUCUGCUGGCCACUCCGUUAUAGACAGAAUACCAGGUGACUGCUUCUUCCCUAAAUAGUUUGUGCAUAGUUUGUAGCUGUGCUUUGGGUCAUUGUCCUGUUGUAGGAGGAAAUGGCUCUAAUCAAGUGCCGUCCACAGGUUAUGGCAUGGCAUUACAAAAUGGAGUGAUAGCCUUCCUUCUUCUUUUACCCUAUACAAAUCUACCACUUUACCACCAGCAAAGCACCUCCAGAACAUGACAUUCCCUCCACCAUCCUUGACAGAUGGUGUCAAACAGUCCUCCAGCAUCUUUUCAAAUGUUCUUCUACGUGAGCCGAACACCCCAAACCUCUGUCCAUAACACUUUUUUCAAAUCUUCCUCUGUCCAAUGUGUGUUCUCUUUCCCAUCUUAACUUUUUCUUUUUAUUGACCAGUCUGAGAUUUGGCCUUUUCUUUGCAACUCAGCCUAGAAGGCCAGCAUCCCGGAGUCACCUCUUCAAUGUUGAUAUUGGGACUGGUAUUUUGUGGGUACUAUUUAAUGAAACUGCCAGUUGAGAACAUCUGAGGCGUCUGUUUCUCAAACUAGACACAUGUAUUUUCCUCUUGCUAAGUUUUGCACCCAGGCUCCCACUCCUUUUUCUAUUCUGGAUAGAGACAGUGUACGCUGUUCUGUAAAAGAAGUAGUACACAGAGUGGUACAAGACCUUCAGUUUCCUGAAAUAGCCUUCAUUUCUCAGAACAAGAAUAGACUAAUGAGUUUCAGAAGAAAGUACUUGGUAUCUGGUCAUUUUGAGCCUGUAAUCACUGAUGCUCCAGAUACUCAACCAGACAAUAGAAAGACAGCUUUCUUGCUUCAUUAAACAGCACAAAAUGUUUCAGCUGUGCUAACAUAAGCACAAAAGGGUUUUCUAAUGAUCAAUUAGCAUUUCAAAAUGAUUAACUUGUAUUAGCAAACACAACAUGCCAUUGGAACACAGGACUGGUGGGUGCUGAUAAUGGGCCUCUGUAUGCCUGUAUGUAGAGAUUCCAUUAAACAUAAUUUGCAUAGUCAUUUACUACAUCAACAGUGUCUACGUUGUAUUUCUGAUCAAUUUGAUGUUAUUUUAAUGGGCAAAAAUAUGCUUUGCUUUUGAAGACAUUUUUAAGUGACUCCAAACCUUUGAAUGGUAGUGUAACUAGAAAGCAAAAUACAUCUCAGAUAUUGAGAUUCUUCUAACCCUGGCACUGCAAGAGCCAGGAACUGUGUACCAACUGUGCAACAUGGGACAUGCCUGCCAAUGUAUUACCAUCAAGGAGAGUGUUUUGGGUGUGGCACAUAGAAAUUGUUAUUCAAAGGGCCUGCUGAACCAGAGAACAUUAGUCACAUGCAGCUGUGAUACGCUCUGCACACACACUCACUGAAAUACACACACAACACACACUCAAAAACGUGCACUAACACACACACUAAUCAAUUUUUUCUAACUCAGAUAUCCAGUUAAACAUGAUACUUAACAGAGCAGUUUCAAGGAUCCUUUCAUUGAUGGUUCUUCUGGCACUUUUAGAUGUUUGCAUUUGUUCAUAUCGACUCAAACUUUUCGAAUUACCUAAAGAGCACUUGACUGCAAAGGAAGGGUCCUGCAUUACAAUUGAAUGCACUGUCAAUGGGAUUAUAAAAGAUAAAAAAGAACCGCUAUGGUUUUGGAUGAAAAAUGCACAGUGGGAUGAUGAAAAACAAAAAUACAGCGGCACCAUAAUUGUAAGCAGUAAUCCUGAGGAUCAAACGCCAGCCUCAGACUUAGCACCCAGAGUGAAGUUCCUUGGGUCUCGAAAUUUUAAACUGGCCAGAAAAGGUGACUCGUGUGGCCUGUUGAUCCACAACCUGCAGAAGACAGACAGUGGAAUCUACAAAUUCAGAUAUAUGGGAAAGGAAAAAUGGAUGACUGAACCAGGUCUGAAUCUUACUGUUGAAGAUGAGCCAUGCCGUGUUAAUGUUAACAACCAGCCAGCGUUCAAAGAGUCUGACCACGUGACCAUUAAAUGCUCCACAUUUGGGUUAUGUGGAUCAUACCCAGAGGUCACAGGGCUUAGUCAAACCAUCCAACCUUCUCACAACGAAGAGGACAACAUUAAAAUCACUGAGGUUAGCUUUAAUGCUAGCUGGAUGGAUGAUGGGAGGGUGCUGUCCUGUCAACCACUGGGCACCAAAGAUAAGUGUAUGGUCAGGGACAUCAAGCUGACUGUUGAGUAUGCCCCCAAGGAGACGAUCUCCGGUAUAAAUUCCUCUGAUAUAAAGGAAGACGACAACGUCAUUCUCACUUGUUCCAGCAGAGGGCACCCUAAUGCCACAUACAACUGGUAUAAAGAAAAUUCAUUAAUAGAAAAAAUUGAAGCAACGUUUAAGAUUUCUUCCAUCAAACCUGAGGACAGUGGGAAAUACCACUGUGAAGCUGUAAACAAACAUGGGACCAAUAAAUCAGAAGCUAUCACACUCAAUGUUAAAUAUGCUCCAAAAGAAGUAAGUGUGGUUACUGAUGACAUGACAACUCAGUACAAGGAAGGAAGCAAUUUCAAAUUAAUUUGUGAAGUGAAUAACGGCAAUCCAUCAGUUUACAUGUACUCCUGGUAUAAAGACAGUGUUAUGCUGACGGGCCAUGAAAGUACAUACAAUUUCACCAAACUAGAACCUGAACACACCGGAAAAUACCAGUGUGAGGGGAAAAAUGAAGCAGGCUCCAGACGAUCACCAGAACAUCAGAUAAAUGUUCAAUAUGUUCCCAGAAACACCUACAUCGCUUGGAGUGGAGGAAGCCAGGUGAAGGUGGGCUCUUCGUUCUCACUGACCUGUGUAGCCCAAGCCUAUCCUGCCCCCAGUGGCUACACCUGGUACUACAGUAGUGAAGGACAGUCACAAUGGACGGAACUCUCACAAACAGGCUGGACAAGGACACUAAGCUGGGAAAAAGUGGCCUUAGAAAACCAUGGGUGUUACAUGUGUAGUGUCACCAAUGACAUCGGCACAGGACAGCAAAGUAGCCAAUCAUGCAUUGAUGUUCUCUACGGCCCAUCUAAACCUGUGCUUUCUAUGGUGCAUAGUGCACAAGAGGGACACCGAGUUAACAUCAGCUGCACUGUGCGGAGUCUCCCAGCCUCGGGGCUAACUCUAUCAUGGACCCCCCGUCACUCCGUCACUCCUAUGUCUGGCUCUCCUUCGCUGCCCCAUUCUCACAAAGUUACGGGGUGCGUCCGACCAUCUGACAACGUCCUCUGGUGUACAUUCAACGCCACGUUGCUCCACGAUGGAGUUUACGCCUGCACAGCAGAGAACUCCGAGGGGGCGAACCACACAGAGCAGGAGCUGGAGAUCACAUACAGCCCUAAAGAUGUGAGGGCCUUGGUUCACCCUGACACGGUGCUGAAUGAGAACACCCUGCUGUCAUUCAUCUGCACGGCUCGUUCCAACCCUCGUGUGACUACCUUCACCUGGGUCCAGACCAUUGGAGGAGAAACCAUGUUGGUGAGGCAGUUCCAGAACUUCACAGUGAACUCCACAACCCCUUCUCACAGCGGACUGUAUAGCUGCACUGCCCAGAACUCGUUAGGAACUGGGAAAUCCCAACAGGUUGAAGUCAAAGUCAAGUACGCCCCGAAAUACACAGAGAUAAUUCAUAACAUGACCACCAUGUGGCAGAGUGAAGGGUCGAUCCCCGUGGCACUGUCCUGCCACAGUCACAGUUACCCCCCGGUCAACGACUACAAGUGGUUCAAAUUGAUGGAGGACGGAGAUAUCAUUGUGGGAAAACACCAGAACAUCACUGUCAAACCAGAAACGCCCGGGACUUACUACUGCAUCGCAACCAAUACCUUGGGCUUGAAAGCAUCAAACAGAAUCCAGCUGUUUCUCAGACGAGUCUUCUUCCGUGUUCUCUUUCAAGUCUCAAUUUUUGUUGGCUUACUGCUUGUUGCUUUAAUCAGCGUUCUGUUCUAUAGAUACAAGAAAAACAGUUUUAUCCAGCAGGGGACGUCAAGGAAACUGCUGUGCUGUAUUCACUUUGGUGUUCUGGGCUGGCGUAACGGCACAACAGAGAACCUGGUGGAGGACCCCCAGGCCAGCAGCAGAGAUGAUCCGUGGCCUGGCGUCCCGUACCGCCCAGAACCCCACCCACAGACUCAGGAUCCCCAGCCUAGCAGGGCAUUGGGUCCAGACAGCACAAUAACUUACCAAGCGGUCCACAAAGAACCAAAGACGGACAUACAAGACACAGGCAUGAAGAUACAGUCAGCUAUGCCAUGGUUCAAUUUAAGGGCCAGGGGAUGAAUCGCUUGGGUACGACAGACAAAGGAGAAGAGUGUGACAUCUAUACUAAGGUUUCCAAGCCAAAAAUCAAGGAAAAGAACGAUAAGCAGAAUGACUAUGAGAACAUUACGGAAACAUGUGCUCCAGAGCCCAACAUGAAGGUAGAAACGGACACAGAGACAGAGACCAGUGGGGAUGACGUCGAGAUCAACUACUCUGAAGUGAAAUUCAGAGCAAAUCAAGGACAACAAAAGAUCUGUGGUCCUCACCAUCAUCACCAAAAGGCAUGCCACAACAGCAGCAGCUCUGAUGAAGAAGACUACAAAGUCCAUUACACUGAUGUGAAAAUAUAAGACAACAAAGUUGAAUUUGUAGAUAGACAAAGAGUCUGAGGGUUUAUUUGUAAAUAUCUGCACAUAUUUGUAUCAGACCUGUAAUCAUGAGGCAAUACAAGCCAACUCAAGAACUGGUAGUUGCUGUGGCUGCAAAAAUUACAACAGUCAGUCAAGAAAGACACAAAUGUCAGAAAAGAGAAUUUGAACAGUGGAUUGGAACAUUGCGUUAUACAUCAGUGCAAUCAGUGUUGUUU